rnacentral:tRNA from 3 species
GCCGAAGUGGUGGAAUUGGUAGACACGCUAUCUUGAGGGGGUAGUGGGCUUACGCUCGUGCCGGUUCAAGUCCGGCCUUCGGCA